rnacentral:rRNA from 1 species
AUUGAACGCUGGCGGCAGGCCUAACACAUGCAAGUCGAGCGAGCGGCGGACGGGUGAGUACUGUCUGGGAAACUGCCUGAUGGAGGGGGAUAACUACUGGAAACGGUAGCUAAUACCGCAUACCAUCAGAUGUUCCCAGAUGGGAUUAGCUAGUAGGUUGGGUAACGGCUCACCUAGGCGACGAUCCCUAGCUGGUCUGAGAGGAUGACCAGCCACACGAGAACUGAGACACGGUGCAGACUCCUGCGGGAGGGAGCAGUGGGGAAUAUUGCACAAUGGGCGCAAGCCUAAUGCAGCCAUGCAGCGUGUGUGAAGAAGGCCUUCGGGUUGUAAAGCACUUUCAGCGGGGAGGCGUUACCCGCAAAAGAAGCACCGGCUAACUCCGUGCCAGCAGCCGCGGUAAUUC